rnacentral:rRNA from 1 species
GGAUGAACGCUGGCGGCGUGCCUAAUACAUGCAAGUCGAGCGAACGGACGAGAAGCUUGCUUCUCUGAUGUUAGCGGCGGACGGGUGAGUAACACGUGGAUAACCUACCUAUAAGACUGGGAUAACUUCGGGAAACCGGAGCUAAUACCGGAUGAUAUUUUGAACCGCAUGGUUCAAAAGUGAAAGACGGUCUUGCUGUCACUUAUAGAUGGAUCCGCGCUGCAUUAGCUAGUUGGUAAGGUAACGGCUUACCAAGGCAACGAUGCAUAGCCGACCUGAGAGGGUGAUCGGCCACACUGGAACUGAGACACGGUCCAGACUCCUACGGGAGGCGGCAGUAGGGAAUCUUCCGCAAUGGGCGAAAGCCUGACGGAGCAACGCCGCGUGAGUGAUGAAGGUCUUCGGAUCGUAAAACUCUGUUAUUAGGGAAGAACAUAUGUGUAAGUAACUGUGCACAUCUUGACGGUACCUAAUCAGAAAGCCACGGCUAACUACGUG